AUUGAACGCUGGCGGCAUGCCUUACACAUGCAAGUCGAACGGCAGCACGGGAGCAAUCCUGGUGGCGAGUGGCGAACGGGUGAGUAAUGUAUCGGAACGUACCUUUCAGUGGGGGAUAACGUAGCGAAAGUUACGCUAAUACCGCAUAUUCUGUGAGCAGGAAAGCAGGGGAUCGCAAGACCUUGCGCUGAUUGAGCGGCCGAUAUCAGAUUAGCUAGUUGGUGAGAUAAAGGCUCACCAAGGCGACGAUCUGUAGCGGGUCUGAGAGGAUGAUCCGCCACACUGGAACUGAGACACGGUCCAGACUCCUACGGGAGGCAGCAGCGGGGAAUUUUGGACAAUGGGCGCAAGCCUGAUCCAGCCAUGCCGCGUGAGUGAAGAAGGCCU
rnacentral:rRNA from 1 species